GAAUCUCCGGGAGGUGGUUUGUUUUUUCUGUAUCUACAGGACCCGCUUGAUGUUAGUUGUAUCCGACCAAUCGGUCUCCGUUUUCGGCUACACGGUCAUCCAAGCCGUCGUAAAGGGAUACUCCUUUGCUCAUCGCAGACGCUAUCGAAUAGAGACCCUACAAGAUGUUAAUCGUGGAGAAAAUCAAGAGAUCGCCUCUCCUUUAUGAAAAAAUCGAAGGAGGUGAAUUGAGUGAACUGGGUUUCCGGAUCUAAUGAUAAGGAUGCUAGCAAGACUGUUGCCGCAACAACACUGGAUCCCCUUAGCCUGUCCUUGGAUUGUUAUGUCUAAGUCUCAUUUGGUCUUCGGCUCGGCGAAAGGUGGUCAACAGAAGCGAUGUAUUUCCACCCUGAUCUGUGGUUGCUAGCCCUCCGGGGAAACGAAACUGCGAGCACCAAGUGACGAAGCAGUGGGCUGGGAGUAUGGAUACGAACGGUACUGUCAAGAGGGGAUUUAAGGAAAUAAACGGAAAUAUAGGCUAAUAUUUUAUUCCUUCUGCUUUAUAAUGGAAGCUAAAGAUUUUGACGGUGUUCUAUGCAAAUGUUUGCGUUUAAGGAACAGGCUAUAUUUCAUAAGAGCCACGAAGAGGACUGUUUAACAAUUGAUUUUAACAACUCGCAACUUUUCAGAGGAUAUUUUCAAAACGGUACCUGGCUAUUCAUAUACUGUGAUUCAUUCAUGUUUGUUUCUCUCUUGUUUUCUUUGAAAUGUUUUUUUAAAAGAGGAAAAUGAGUAAGAAUAAUAUGAGUGAUGCCCUCUUAUCUGAGCUUCAGUCACUUCCAAAUCCCCUAACCCUCCCUUCUACUCUCUUCAUUCCUAGGCUACUGACUCCCGUGUCUGCUUGACAAAGACUGUGUUAACUUCAGUAACAUUUCGCUCCACUUCCCCAUUUCCGCAUCCUCAAUUAAUUAGUUGUGGCCUAAUUAUGUGUAUGCAUGUUUGUUUGUGUGAAUGGAGCCUGCUUCUGAAACGAUGCUUUUCUGAAAUAUAAAACAUAAUGUAAAAUGUUUAUGUAUUACAGGGGAGUAAUCUGGCAAACGAAUGAUAUUAAUAACAAUAUAGAUCCAGUUUUCUUGUUUCUACUCGUUGUAUAUUAACCGAUGUAUUUUUUAACCCUUUCUGGUUCAAAUUACGACUAUUUUUUACGACAAUUUCAUUAAAAUUUCCAUCGUGGGCAACAAAGUAAUCUAUCUUUAGUCGAGCAAACUGUAAAUAGCCUACAUCCGGUAAUGUUUUAUUUUUUCACCGUAUUCGAACAUUCUGAAUACAUCGCAUUCUAUGUAUCAGAUGGUCUUCUGUUAUUUAAAGAAAAGGGUACAUGGCCAAAACGCCUGGCGCCCUCUGGGGUCUAAAAGGUCACAGUCCUACCCACCCCGGCUCUACAAAUCGACCUCAAGUGUAAAGAGUACCAUACUGCAUCCAAAACCGGCAUCAACAAAUACUUUAAGUUAGUAAAGUAGGAAUGCAAUGAAUGUGUGACCUUAUGGAGCAAUAAACAAACAGCUUGAAACUGGAAAUGUCAUUGCAGCCACACACAUGAAAACGCAUUAUUGAACGUAUAAUAUUCAUUAAAAAAAUGAAAGUCCACACCAGUGUAAUGAAAUCAAAUCCCAAAAUUUUCCAUCAAAGUGUAGGCUAUAUAAUGACUUUCUACGACAAACAUUUUAGUGAUUGAAAUGAAUGAUAAAAAAUAAACACUGUUCUUGAGCACUCAUAUCUUUUACUAUGGCAAGUCAUAUUAGUGCAGAUAAAUCCUAACCAUACCGUAUUUAUACAAAAAAUAAAGAAAGAAAUAUAAAGAAAAUCAUAGAAGAAAAAAAAAACAAAUAAAUAAAAAAUCACAAAUUCAGCAUUAAACAAUCUUCCCGAAAUAACGCUAAAAAUCCAAUAUAAAUAAACCAUAGCUUUCAGACACGAAACUGGAAACCCUCCAUUAUCCCAGACGUGACAUUAACAAAAUGCACAAAAAUCCAUAAACGUGUAAUCUAUUUAGAAUUCCCCAUUCUAAGUUUUCAAUGUAAAACAUAUCAGCAAAAGUGAAAUAACAGGCAUCUUACCUUUGGCAUAAAAGAGCAUCCAGUUUUCUUCGUUCUGUCUGAAGCUCCGCUUAAAGCAUAUGGAAAAUGUUUUCAAAACGCCUUGAUUUGGCACAUUGUCAUUGCAAAGAGAGGAGCGCAGUGAUGCUGUUACAGAAAAAUGGGAAAUAAGUUGGGGAUUGGGUGCUGCCUGCCUCCCUCAAUGCGGUCUUAUCUAACUUAAAUUUAAUAUUCCGCAAUCACUCGGUGAUCGCAUAUAAUUCAAGGAAAUGCCUGGUAUUUUUCCAACAGUGUGUGAUCUCGAAAAGACAAUGGAUUACUUUGCUUUUUUUUUUUUCCUUUUUACUUUGUUUCGCUAUUUACGAAGAAACAUAAUUUGGAAAAAUGCUCUAUUUGUUUUUAUUUGGAUAUUUCGACAACAUUAC